GAUGAACGCUGGCGGCGUGCCUAAUACAUGCAAGUCGAGCGAACAGACGCUGAGCUUGCUCCUCUGACGUUAGCGGCGGACGGGUGAGUAACACGUGGAUAACCUACCUAUAAGACUGGGAUAACUUCGGGAAACCGGUGCUAAUACCGGAUAAUAUAUUGAACCGCAUGGUUCAAUAGUGAAAGACGGUUUUGCUGUCACUUAUAGAUGGAUCCGCGCCGCAUUAGCUAGUUGGUAAGGUAACGGCUUACCAAGGCAACGAUGCGUAGCCGACCUGAGAGGGUGAUCGGCCACACUGGAACUGAGACACGGUCCAGACUCCUACGGGAGGCAGCAGUAGGGAAUCUUACGCAAUGGGCGAAAGCCUGACGGAGCAACGCCGCGUGAGUGAUGAAGGUCUUCGGAUCGUAAAACUCUGUUAUUAGGGAAGAACAAAUGUGUAAGUAACUAUGCACGUCUUGACGGUACCUAAUCAGAAAGCCACGGCUAACUACGUG
rnacentral:rRNA from 1 species